UCAAAUAACAAUGAUCCCAGAACAGAACCCUGCAGCAUUUCAUUCUAGACUUCAAAAGCUUACCAAAUGCUUUUCAUAUUGCCACAGAAAAGGUACUGCAUCAGAAAGAAAAAGAAAAGAAAGAAAGAAAAGAUCAGAGGAAGAGAAGAUGGGACACUGUUUCUACAAAAUGUGCAAAUUCUUGUACAAAGAGAAUAGAUACAGAAAUAAAUUUGGAAGCAAUCACAGGGAAGACUGUGCCAGGGACACAGUGAAUCCAGUCACUCUGUUACUUAAGUGCCAACUGAUUAAGGUUGUUCGAGUUCAUGAACUUUUUGGCUGAGAAUGUCAUUUUCUGUUACAUGGGAUUAGCGCUGUUUACUUUCCAAAACCACAUCUUCAACGCACUGUUUAUAUUUGGAGCAUUUGUAGCAAUAUUCAUAGCAAGAGCCUGUAACAUAUAUCCAAUUUCUUUCAUUCUCAACUUGGGCCGAAAGCAAAAGAUUCCCAGGAAUUUUCAACAUAUGAUGAUGUUCUCAGGUUUACGUGGUGCAAUAGCCUUUGCACUGGCUAUACGGGACACAGAAUCUCAGCCUAAGCAAAUGAUGUUUACAACCACCUUACUAAUUGUAUUCUUCACAGUCUGGGUGUUUGGAGGAGGCACCACACCAAUGCUUACAUGGCUUCAA